rnacentral:rRNA from 1 species
UACAGAGGUCUCAAGCGUUGUUCGGAUUCAUUGGGCGUAAAGCGCACGUAGGCGGACUCUUAAGUCGGUGGUGAAAUCCUGGAGCUCAACUCCAGAACUGCCUUCGAUACUGAGAGUCUUGAGUCCGGGAGAGGUGAGUGGAACUGCGAGUGUAGAGGUGAAAUUCGUAGAUAUUCGCAAGAACACCAGUGGCGAAGGCGGCUCACUGGCCCGGUACUGACGCUGAGGUGCGAAAGCGUGGGGAGCAAACAGG